CCUACGGGAGGCAGCAGUGAGGAAUAUUGGUCAAUGGGCGGAAGCCUGAACCAGCCAAGUCGCGUGAGGGAAUAAGGCCCUAUGGGUUGUAAACCUCUUUUGUCGGGGAGCAAAAGCCGGACGUGUCCGGCUGUGAGAGUACCCGAAGAAAAAGCAUCGGCUAACUCCGUGCCAGCAGCCGCGGUAAUACGGAGGAUGCGAGCGUUAUCCGGAUUUAUUGGGUUUAAAGGGUGCGCAGGCGGAUUUUUAAGUUAGCGGUAAAAUCGUGGGGCUCAACCCCAUCCAGCCGUUGAAACUGGGGAUCUAGAGUGUGCGAGAGGUAUGCGGAAUGCGUGGUGUAGCGGUGAAAUGCAUAGAUAUCACGCAGAACCCCGAUUGCGAAGGCAGCAUACCGGUGCACAACUGACGCUCAGGCACGAAAGCGUGGGUAUCGAACAGGAUUAGAUACCCCAGUAGUC
rnacentral:rRNA from 1 species